CAGUCGAGCGGAUUGAAGGGAGCUUGCUCCCUGAUAUUAGCGGCGGACGGGUGAGUAACACGUGGGCAACCUGCCCUGCAGAUGGGGAUAACUCCGGGAAACCGGGGCUAAUACCGAAUAAUCGGUUCUUCCGCAUGGAAGAACUCUGAAAGACGGUUUCGGCUGUCACUGCAGGAUGGGCCCGCGGCGCAUUAGCUAGUUGGUGGGAUAACGGCCUACCAAGGCGACGAUGCGUAGCCGACCUGAGAGGGUGAUCGGCCACACUGGGACUGAGACACGGCCCAGACUCCUACGGGAGGCAGCAGUAGGGAAUCUUCCACAAUGGACGAAAGUCUGAUGGAGCAACGCCGCGUGAGCGAAGAAGGUUUUCGGAUCGUAAAGCUCUGUUGCGAGGGAAGAACAAGUACGGGAGUAACUGCCCGUACCUUGACGGUACCUCGUCAGAAAGCCACGGCUAACUACGUGCCAGCAGCCGCGGUAAUACGUAGGUGGCAAGCGUUGUCCGGAAUUAUUGGGCGUAAAGCGCGCGCAGGCGGUCCCUUUAGUCUGAUGUGAAAGCCCACGGGCUCACCGUGGAGGGUCAUUGGAAACUGGAGGACUUGAGUACA
rnacentral:rRNA from 1 species